CCCUUAGAUGUUCUGGGCUGCACGCGUGCUACACUGAUUAUUUCAACAAGUGUUUUAACUGGAGAGUUUGCGUAAUCCUGAAAUGUUAUCGUGAUGGGAGUAGAGUAUUGUAUUUGUUAAUCUUUAACGAGGAAUUCCUAGUAAGUGUAGGUUUAUAAGUUGUUCUGAUUACGUCCCUGCCCUUUGUACACACCGCCCGUCGCUCCUACCGAUUGAUUGAUCCGGUGAAUUACAUAGAAUUUUGCGUUUUACAUGACGGAAGACGAAGUGUUUUAAACCUUAUCAUUUAGAGGAAGGAGAAGUCGUAACA
rnacentral:rRNA from 1 species